UACGUAGGGUGCGAGCGUUAAUCGGAAUUACUGGGCGUAAAGCGUGCGCAGGCGGUUUUGUAAGCCAGAUGUGAAAUCCCCGGGCUCAACCUGGGAACUGCAUUUGUGACUGCAUCGCUGGAGUGCGGCAGAGGGGGAUGGAAUUCCGCGUGUAGCAGUGAAAUGCGUAGAGAUGUGGAGGAACACCAAUGGCGAAGGCAGCCUUCUGGGCCAACACAGACGCUCAUGCACGAAAGCGUGGGGAGCAAACAGG
rnacentral:rRNA from 1 species